rnacentral:lncRNA from 1 species
GUAAGUUGUGUGUGUGUGUGUAAUCUUUUUUCUUUUAUUUAAGAUGGAUUUUUUUUUAUAUAUAAUAUAUUCUGGUUAUAGUUCCCUGAUCUCCUACUCUUUCUAGUUCAUCCCAUCUCCCCUUGAAUUUGAUCUUUCUGUCACUUGUUAAAAAGUAAGCAGGUAUCUAAGGAAUAAAAGUAAAAUAAAAUAAAUCAAAAGAAACAAAAGACCAUGAUUCCUUGGUGUCUUCAUCCCCUCUGGCUCUUUUACUCUUUCUACCUGCUCUUCCUCAGAGUUCCCUGAGCUCUGAGGAGAUAGAGUUGAUGGAGGAGAUCCAUUUCUAGGGCUGAAUGUUCCAGUAUUCCUCACUCUGUGUAUUGUCUGCCUGUGAAUCUUUGCAUUUGUUCCCAUCUGCUGCAGGAGGAAACUUCUCUGAUGGCCAAGCAAGACACUGGUCUUCAAGUACAGCAGAAAGUCACUAGCAGUCAUUUUAAUGCUAUGUUCGCUAUGUUCCUUUAGCAAAACAAUAGUAAUUGGUUUCCCCCUAGGUCCCUGCCCUAUCUAAUCUCAGGUUCUUGGCUACCCAAGCAGCACUGGGCUUGGGUUCCAUCUCAUGGAGUGCGCCUUAACUCAAAUCAAAUAUUGGUUGGCUAUUCCCACAAGCUUUGUAAAAGUUCUAUUGGACCAGUGGACCUUGUAGUCAGGUCACCAUUAUAAAUUGAAGAGUUUGUACCUUUCUCCUUUGGCAGCAUGCAGAGAACCUUCCAGUAGUAUCUAAUCUGUAGGGAGUGAAGGCUGUAGGUAGGCAUCAGCUCAACUUCUCCAUGUUUAGUAAGUUGUUAAGUAAGAGGAUCUUACUGUCAGUUUCUGGAGAGCUACCCAUAGCCUUGGCAGUAGCCUGGGUUGUUUGGGGGGUUCUCAUGGGAUCCUUUUUGUCAAGAACUCAAUUAUGUAACUCACUUUCAGUACUUGAAACUUCAUUUGGUGACAAGAGAUGUUCAGCUGGGGCUCUGUCUCCCCUGUUAUUUGGUGAUUUAGAUUGUCUUCAUAUGUGUGUGCAUUGUAGGAAGCUUCUACUGUAUUAGGUUUCUAUACAACUUCUACAACUUCUCAACUAUCCCUUAAUUUUAGCCGUUCCUCUUUAUAUUCGUUUCCUUGCCUCCUUCUUUCUCUCUCCCUCUUUGAUCCUUCUAUUGCAGUCCCCAGCCUCCAUCCAUCCAUAAUUAUUUAUUCUGUUUCCCCUUCCUAUGGAGAUCUAUCCUUUCCCCUAGUCCCUUGCACUCUACAUAUCUUCUGUGGUUAUAUAGUUUGUCACUUGCUUGUCAACACUGAACAUCCACAUAUAAGUGAAUACAUACUAUAGUUGGAUCUAAGUUACCUCACUCAGGAUGAUUUUUUUUUCUAGUUUCAUACACUUACCUUCAAAUUUUAUAAUUUUAUGUUUUAAAAACUUGCUGAGGAAUUCCCUGUUGUGUAAAUGUACCAUUUCCUUUAUGCCCAUUCUUCUGUUGAGGAGCGUCUGAGUGGUUUCCAAUCUCUCGCUGCAAUGAACACGGUUGAGCAAGAGCAAGUUAUCUUGUGGUAGGAUGGACUGUCCUUUGGGUAUAUGACUUUAAGAGUACUAUAACUAACUUAAUGUAGUUUCUGGAGAACCACCAUACAGAUUUCCAUGCUGGCUUUGUAAGUUUGCUCCCACCAGCUAUAGAUGAGUGUUUCCCUUAUUCCACAUCCUCUCCAGCAUGAGCUGUCAUUGUUUUAUUGAUACUGACCAAUAUCAUGUAAAAUGAAAUCUCAAAGUAGUUUUGAUUUACACUUCCCUAAAGAUUAAGGGUGCUGAGCAUUUCUUUUAAGUGGUUCUCAGCCAGCAUGAGCCUAGUAGUAAGGGUGGGUGUCAUCAUAUUUAUAAAGAGUGGCCUCAACAGAGAUUCGUACUCACGCAAGUCCCUGAGUAACAAGAUGACCCACCUACUGGCCCCUGAGGCUAGUUUCAGCUUAUCAACAGGUAUUUACCCCUCUAAGAAAGCAAGAACCCCAAGCCACCCAACAUCUCCUAGCAUGACAUCAGCCUCUCUGAGUACAUUCAACGAUUCAGACUUCUGGACCACUUUUGGCAUCAUCUGCAGCACCUUCCAGCACCUUGGGCUAUACACAGUAUAGGGCAUCUGACUCACAACAUCUUCAUCCACCCACCACAACCCCAAUCUAGAGCCAUCCCAGUUCCAUGCUGACCCUCAUCGCCAAAAUUAAAU